rnacentral:lncRNA from 1 species
UCCACCGGCCCCUAGGCGCCUCGAGCCCCGCCCCUGGGAGACGCAGGCUCCUCCCCGCGGAGCGAGAGCCCGCGGAGCUGCUCCGAGACCCGCGGGAGGGCACCUCCGGUCACCCGAGCCGCAAAUCCCCGCCGUCCGAAGGGGGUGUCGCCCCGGGCUGUCGGCCCAGCGUGGCUUAGGCCAGGUACAACCGGCAGCGCCCGCCAAGCCCUGGGCUAGGGACGCCUGCGGGAGUUCACGGGGAGGCGCCGGUGUCUGAGGUCUGAGAAGACAGCGGCCACCGGAAAAGGUGCUAAUGUUUGCAGACCCCGAUCCAUCGACACCCCAAGGAAAUGCUGUGCACAAAAUUCCAAGAGGGCCUUUUCGAAUAGACGCAUGAACGGUGUUUGUGUCUGGAUCGUCCAGCCUCCCGGGAUCGAUUGGGAAUCUAGCUUCUGCUUGCCUUUCCAGCGCGACGCACAGUAGGAGCCUAAUAAAUGUUUGCUGAAUGAAUGCUGAAUAUCGAACUCAGCCAGCUCGUCAUAUUGGGCCCGGAUGUCUGCCAUGAUUUUGGCAAGGUCCUGAGAUUUGGGGCCUCUACCUCCACGGUCAACUCAGAGCUGGCAAUCUGGGCUUGUAGGCCUUUUACUUCCUCUUCGUGGUUCUUCUUCAUGAAGAGCAGCUCCUCCUUGAGGGCCUCGAUCUCUGU